UACAGAGGUCCCGAGCGUUUGUUCGGAUUCACUGGGCGUAAAGGGUGCGCAGGUGGGUUGGCAAGUUUGAUGUGAAAGCCCCGGGCUUAACCCGGGAAUGGCAUUGAAUACUGCUGAUCUGGAGGAUCGGAGGGGGGACUGGAAUUCUUGGUGUAGCAGUGAAAUGCGUAGAUAUCAAGAGGAACACCAGUGGCGAAGGCGAGUCCCUGGACGAUACCUGACACUGAGG
rnacentral:rRNA from 1 species